CGACUCUCGUCCGUUUUCGUCCGAUCCGCUGUUAUAGGUUAGUGCUCGUCGUCGAUUAACGACGGUUCGCAUAAAUAAUUUUAUUUUUCAACCAAAAGUUACGCGCGAAACGUGGACCGCAGUCCCGGAGCUCCUGCGAUCCAACGGAAAUACAUGGGAAAAUAACCGAUAAGAAAACUUGUCGGGAACAAAACAAGUGCCCACACGAAGUUUACACCGUGCCCGAACGAUGGAUUAUCACAUUGGUCAGUAUAAUUUUUGCCGGACAAUUUUUUACGCGCGGGAAAAUUUCGCUUUCAUUUAUUCCCGUUUAGCGUUGUUCUUAUUGCGUUUCAAACGUUCCAGUAAUUACCAAUCUGAUUUUAUUACCUAUAUUAAACGGGGCCAGUUUACUUAUUGCUUUUCUGUACUGCGAUAUUUGAGCGUUUUGUACAUUUAUUUAUCAUUUCGGUUAUAUAUUUUUUUUUACAAUUUUUUACAUAUGUGAUUAAAUUCAAUAUUAUUACGAAAUGCGCUUACAACUACGUAAUUACCGUAAUAUACACUGAUAUAUUAUUAUUUGGAAAUUAAAAUUCGUAAAGUAUGUAGAUUGACACUAUGAUGUCAGUCUCUCUCAUCUAUAUUACAAUAUUGUAAAUAUUGUAGGUAUACAAACGCAAAUUGUAUGUAUAAAUUACACAUAUUAUGUAAAGACCCUCCAGGAAUGUGAUAAAUACCGUUUAGUCAAGGGCGCCCAUGGGGGACAAAAUGAAACUAGAUUUCUGCACCUAUUUACAGCAUAUAAAUACGAGGUUGGUAUUUCUCGAAAAGGAACGAGGAAGAAAGAGUAUGCAACAGUAAACAUUAGCUUUUUUAAAAAAAAAAAAACAACUGUUAAGUGCUGAAAAUGAAAUCAAGACAUAUUAUAAUAUUCUGCUGUUUGCGGUUUACAUUAUGCAUUUGAGUAGACAAUUAGAUUAUUUAUUUUUAAAUGAUAACACUUUACAAACAGUAAUGAACAAAUAUCUAUUUGUAUAAGAAUCCUUUGUAUAGGAAAUACCUAUUUUGCAUUUAUUUUGAUGGAUUCAAAGCAUAAAUAAUACAUUUUUUUUUUUUUUUUUGGUUACUUUAUUAUUUUCUAGGGGGGUAUGUCCCCCCUCUUCCCCCCCCUCCAAUGGGUGCCCAUGUUUACAGUGUUUAUUAGUUGGAAGUCUGUGUUUAUAACAGGGAGUAAAAACGUUUAGGGAAAUGACGUUUUUUGUUUUCAUUUUGGUCGCGUAACACGUGUUUGACAAAACUAUCGAAAACAGUUUUACGCCCUAUUUUUACUAUAAUAUUAACAUGGUUAUUGUAAAAAUUCAUCGAUUGCUGCCGGCUGGUUAAAAAAUAGAAAACCAUCGUAAGAAAUCGGUAUUUUAUAAUUCGAGUGGGGUUACUUUUUUCACAAAAAUAUCCACGGCCCUUCUCCCCGGUCUAAAUUUAUUUGUCUUCAUUUAUUAUGUUAGGAUUUAUUUGGUGAGCUUCUACUUAUUCUUUUUGCCACAUUUGAAUGGGGUGUCGUAAUCUUUUAAGACGUGAUAAAAUAGUAGUUUUUUUUUUUGUUUUAAAUAUCAACGCCAUUCCACAGUUUACAUUCGCUCACCAGGACCUGAGUUAAUGUGUUUUAGAGCCCAAAGUAUGCAGUACAAAAUGUAAAGUGUGCAGUUCGAAAUUCCAGUUUGUUUUUUAAAUAAAAAAACCGUGUUAUUAUGAAAGGACACUAAAAAUGUAAAUACGUCUCUGUCUUCUCAAUUGCCUUCAUCUUUUCACUCGCUCGGUUAUUGUUAAUUUCUUAUGAACAUAAAGUUGUAUUAAUUUGAUAAUAUUUUUCAUAAUAUUAUACCUUCGCGAUAAUUUUUUUCGGGGAAACGCGACGGGUUUUCAGCGCGGCGGUAAGUCUCCUAUCCCCAUUCGAUUUGAUCGUCAACAGCGAAACGAUAUAAACAAAAUACCAACGUAUUAUAUAUUUACGCGUAAUCUGAACAUAAAAAAGAAAUAAAGGACAAUUUACACGUAUUGGAAGAGAACGUUUAUUUAUGCUGUCGUAAAAUCUCUCGAAGGUCACGCGCGUAUAAACACAGGACUGAAUAUAAUAUAUUCGUGUAUAAAAUAGAAUAACGCAGAAGUUCGUAACCGUGUAAAAGUUUACAAAUAUUAUUUACAAUACGGUGCAAAUAUUAUACUACGGAUAACGUUUUGCGUUCUGAUAAAACGUGGCGCGUACAAGUAUGUACAACAUUCACGAAUCGUCUUUUUUUUUUUCUUCAGUAUAAUAUGUUAUUAGGUUUCGUCGGGUAAAAAAAAAAAAAUGCCUUCCCGUUUUAUUCGAAAGUAAUACUAUGUAUACUACGCGUAAUAAAAUAUUAAAUGAGACGCUUUAACCGCAUUUGUCGGCUCCAUACACAGAGCUCCAGUAUUUGAGAAACUUACUUUUAAAAAGGAAUUAGUACACGUCCAUGAUCAUCUCGUUAACUAAUUCUGUGCUCGUUCAGAGAUUUAAGAAAGAAACCUAGUCCUUUUCACAUUUCUUAUAAAGGGACAUUUAUCGUUACUCAAAUAAAAAUUAUUAAUUGGUAUUCAUGUGCAUAUGUCAGAUUCUGAGCGAAGCAAAGGAAUAUACUGGAAUGCACUGGUUCUACAAUGAUAUUAUUCUAUUUAAAUUUUUUUUUUUUUUUUAAUCUGUGAAUAACUUUUCUACUGGAAAUUUUGCUCCAAUUUUCAAGUGUACCAUCUUUUCUAAAAAUAUAUCCGACUGAGGUGAUACUUUUUUGAGGUCGUUUUUUGAUUUUCCCAGGAGUAUAAUAAAUUGGAAAACUGGAAAAACGUAGAAAAAACGGGAAAAUAUACGAAGUGUAUUAUUUUCAAAUAGUAAAUAUUGCGGCCUUUCAAAGCAUGUGUAACCUUCAGAAUCGUUUUUCGUUAGCAAUGAUUAAUUUUUGAGUACGGAUAUACAUUAAAUUUCCUCUCUUCCUUCACGACUUUCCACAUAUAACAGUGUCCAUCAAUCGUCUGAAGUAUGUCCGUCUGUUCUUUAAAUUAAAUUUUAUUAUAGGUACUAUAUUUACUAGGUGUUUAUACAGAUAUCUUUAGUAGGGGACAUCGGGACAAAUAAAUAUAUUACUAUAAUAAAUGUUUAAUGAUGUUGCAGUAAAAUGAUUAGGGUUUACUUAAUACGGUGUAUUAUCUACAGUAUAGGUACUUGUUAUUUUCUACAUCUCGUAUGAAGAAUAUAUUAUUCCCAGAUUGAGAGGGUUGAUAAAUAAAUUUAUCGUGUUUAUGAAAUUUCUAGAGUCCUAAAGAGUUUCUAAAUCCACGGAACACAGGUUAAGCACCACUGCCGUACGACACGUAAAAUAUAUUUUCAUUUAUUUUUAUAUUUGUAUUAUAGAACUCGCUUGAUAUUUUGGUUUUAGAGUGAUAGCACUAUUACUGUAACAUUAACUGAGGACAAUAUUCUGGAGGGUAAGACGAUGGGUUUUUUUUUUUAAAAAAUUUUUUGGACAGCAUCAUUAUUAACUUUAUAAUAGAAUAAAUAAAGUCAUAUUAAAUUUUUAUUUAAUUUCGUGUGUAAUUUUUCUGCUCAAAAGUGACUAACUAACCAAUUCGUUGCGUGUAUUCAUUAAUGUUUAGUUUACUUGUGCGGUUAUAUUUUCGGCGGUAGAUAUAAUGUUAUUUCUAUUGUGAUUUGUCGUCCGGUGAUGUACAUUUUUUUUUUUUUUUUUUUUUUAUGGACGACAAAUAACGUUUAUAAAAACAAUGAUAAUGUUGUUGCUGUCUGUUGUGACGCACGUAUUUAUCGGUAAACGAAUAAUUGUAAUUCAUUAAAAUAAUAUUACAAAGUCAAUAUCACAAUAUCGAUCGGAUAAACAUAAUAUGUAAUAUUAUAAUAUCUAUACGGAGAUAUACAGAAAAAAUAAAACGAAUGUAUAACAAUAUAGGUACGAAGUUUCCUGAGAAAUAUAAUAAUACAUUCGUUUUUGUUCGUUUUCAACUAUCUACCAAUACAGAAUAAUAUUAUGUUUUAUUCACAAAAUCGUUUUCAUGCGUUUGCGUUUUUGAAUACGAAAUUCACGGUUGCCCAACAAUAGUAAUACUACUAUAUCGUCUAAUUCAAUGCUGCCGGUAAUAUUGUAAAUAGAUACAUUCAUUUGGAAGCGAAUAAUAAUAAAGAUACUGUUCGAAUAAUUUAUUGCCGAUAGAUUGUGAUUUUACUUGAAAAUAUCCGUAGGUUUAAUCGUUUAGUUGUUGGGGAAACCAUCUAUAACUACUCUGUAUUCACUAUUAACAUAUUGCUCGGCGGGCUCCGAGAAAACCUGAUACUUUUAGCCACACGGAUAAACGCAAAUAGCCCGAAUAUUUUUUAUGGGCCAAGACGUUAUUUCGUAAAAAUUAUAAUAAAAAAAAAUCGGUUUACGGUAACAAUUAUUAGCGAUGAGUACAAUCUCAUAUUAUAGAGUACAGUUACUGUUCAACUAUUCGAUAGCCUGAAAUAGUAUUGAAAUCAUUUUUGGAAGUUUUUAGUCAUGGGGAAACAUGAUAUUCAAUAGUUUAUCUAAACUGUUGAUAAAUUUUUUAAGCUAUUCAGAAAUUUCCAUCACUCAUAAUAAUAUAACGAAACGAUAAUCAUGUAAAAAUAAAAACAAAUUAAUUUUGUCGACUUUAAAAUUAAAUUAUCGUUGAAUUUCCGACUCUGUAGUAGAUAAUCUAAAUUUACAAGUUCCGAGGAGAGGGGGUGUAUUAUAUCUCUUCGAUUAAUCGAUAUACUAUCGAUGAAUAGACACUAUUGAUAAUAUCGAUACCAUAAUAUAGCUGUGAUGGCUGGAGACAUUAGAUUUGUAUCCCAAAGAUGGGUAAACGAAAAAUCGAGUAUGUCGAGUAUGUCUAUUGUAUCUGGCGAUAUUUUAAUUGCGUUCAUUUUAACCAUCUUCGACUUUCAAUUCUAACACCCCUUCAUAGAAUACCACCCCGCAUCCUGGUAUUUUUCUAAUUGUUAUCCACAUAGACAAAUUAUAUUUAAAUCAAUUGAGUAGAUAACUAAAUAGGUACCGCUAUUUCUUAAAUUCACAUCAUCUGAAGUUAGCAAAUACCCUGUAGGGCUGCAGCCUAUAUAACUCUGGUUAUACACAGAAUAAUAUUGCAAGGCUCAAAAUUAUAUUGUCAGUUUUAAUAUAAAUGGCAUGGCUUUAGGGAUAUGAGUAAGGGGGUGAUAUGGGAGAUUCAGCUUCCUUUCCUUCGUCUCCCUCAACCCCCUCGUAAAUAAUCUAUAUUACGCCUCUGCCUAGCUUAAAACAUCGAUACUAUCGAUCGAUCACGCAAGCCUAAGCUUGGUGAAGUUUUUCGUUGGGAGGUGAUGAACUCCACAAGUUCUCGCACCUCUAUUUACUUUAUCAGCGGACCCCCACGAAAUCCGUAUUUUCGCGGUUAUUGUAUAUUUCUGAUUCCGAUUACGUAUACUCACGAAAUGACGAAAUAAUAAAAUUAUUAUCACGAAACCCGCUAUAAAAACCGCCCACCGUCCGCUAUUGAACGGUGCUACAGCGCGUGUACCCCUCGAGCAUUUUAUAUUAUUUGUUAAAAGUUCAAAACACGACAGACAUUUCACUAUAACGAGCAGACAUGCUUUUAUAAUAAUAAAUACCUAAGUAUUACCGUGUUUCCCGUUUCCCACUUUCCCGUCCAUCGGUGUACACAUAUAUAUCGACUUAUCUACCGAGUUUCGCAUUUCAGUUAUUAUAUCGCAGAUAUAUACAUAUUAUAAUAGCAUGCCGCGGUUUAUUUGCUGGGUUUUUUUUCUUCUUUUUCAAAACCAAUCUCGUAUACUUAUGUUCAGUGCUAUUAUUAUUAUAAUAAUCUAUAAGACGGGUUUUCUGGUUUCUGAGCGGUGCAAGAAUUGUAUUGAUUUUAUUGCGACGAUACAUUUUUACACUUUAAGUACAAUAAGAAUAAUAAGACGUACAUAAUAUUAUGUGUGUUUUUUUCUAUCUAUAUAAACGAGUUUUCAUUCCGCUCUGGUCAAAAACUCCGUAUAGGACGUAAUAUUAUUUUCUUGUUGAAUUGUGUGUCUAUACUAUAAUCAAGACUCUAUCAUUAUCGACACAAAAUUCUGAAUUUUUAAAAUUCCUUGGUGCGUCGAUGUCAGGUUUUUUUAUCGUAGAAAUUCAUCGUGAAUUUGGGUAGUGGGUGAGUCAGAAAUUUGAAUUUUGGGGAGAUGGGUUAAAAAACCGUUUUUGCUGAAAUCAUGUGUGUAGAUUAAGUAAGGGGACACGAGGUUCAGGCACUUCUAACGAAAAAACUAAAAUUUAGAUAACCUUGAGCAUUUAAAAUUUUCGAACGACUUUUCUUUCCGUAAGUAUUUGAAUUUCAGAAACUUCUAAACGAAAGAAAAAAUCACCUUGUUGAAUUUAUGUCGAUAAAAAUGAGUAAAUAACGGCAGUUUUUGGUUAAUUAUAGUAAUAUAUAAUUAUUGUUUAUAUAGUUUUUGCGUAAAAUACUUACAGUUUUAAAAUGUUUCGUCAUUUUUUGUAGUUUUCGAUUACCUAAUUGUUAAAUUUUUGUACGAUGUGGAAAAUCCGGUAGUAAAAAAUAAAAAAUUGAAUUAGACAUUACCCGAAUUAAAGGAUUUGUUUAAAACAUUAUUUUUUUAUUUUUUUUUGUAAAUAUUAUAUUAUUAUUUAUAAUAGUUAAUUGUGUAUAGGAUUUGAUCACAGUUAUUUAAAAACAAAAUAACAAUUGAAAAUAUGAAACUCUUUUAUCCAAAAUACACAGUGACAAUAUGGAUUUUUUCACUUUUCAUAAUAUAUUAACUUAAAAUAAUAUUUCAAUUUAAUUUUUAAACGUUUUAAACAAGUGUUUAAACUUAAAAACAAUAUAUUUGAAACAUUUAAAAACUCUACUCAUUUGUAACACCGCAGCUGUAUAAAUGGAUAUCGAUUUACAAUUUAGUGACCUAAUAUAGGUAUACAGUCUGAAAACAUGUUUGGCCUAAUUUCAAAGUUAUGUAUUUUUCUUUAAGUAAAUUUUAAGGGAAAUAACAAAAAUGUACCAAGCGAAAAUUUAGAAAUAAGGUUUUCGCGUCAAUAAGCAUUUUAAUACCCAUAUAAUAAUUUUAAUAAAAAUGUAUAAACAAAACUUUAUGAUAAAAUUGGAUAAUAUGAGCAAUAUUAUGGAUAAUGUCUCAGAAUAUUAUUUGAUACCUAACUAUACUAUAUUCAAUACCCAUCUGACGGCUACAUCUUUCUGGGAGAAUUUUGUGCAAAGACAGUUUCGUUGAUGUAUUUUUUAAUUUAGCCAUUGACUCUAAUUUUUGACACAGUUGGUAGGUACUCCUUGAAUAAUACGUUUUCGUACGGUUCAGUGUAGAAAACGUUCUAUCCAGAGUCGAAAAAAUAAUUAGAAACGUAAAGUGGUAAAAGUAAAAUAGUAAGCGUACAUUAACAUGUCCAAAGGACGUGAUAUAGACACACCUUAGCUCCCCUCUAGCUAUGCCACUAACUCAAACAUUUUGUAUUAAAAAAAAAAAAAAUAAAAAUAAUCUCUAUCUCAUGUAUAAGUUCCUAUAAAAAUAAAAUAUACGUAUAACUACUGCGGGUUUCACUAUAAUAUAUAGAACCAAUUAUUUAAAAUAUUAUCGUACAUUUAGUUCGAUAUAUUUUGGUGUUCAUAGUUUCGAACCGUUUAAAUCGUAAAAAACUAUAUAUUUUCUUAGACGGUAAUUAGAUGUAGAUUUAUAGGCACACUUACCAAUGUUAACCGAAUCAAUAUAAGGCUAAUAAUUAUUAACCAGAGCCGUCCUAAGGCCGGAGCGAGUGGGGUCCACCAUCCGGAUCCCGCGCAUUGGAUUCCUCGUUUAGGCUCUUCGCUUACGCAGUUGAAAAAUCCUAAGUUUUAUUUAUUUAUUUAAACAACGCCGAGCGGAAAUUUUAGAUAGAAAACUGAGUACAAACAAUUAAUGUUGUAUACAUUUACGAUACACAUAAUAUAAUGCUGACAAUAUAAUACUUAAAAUCACAUUUGCUUAUUUUAAUUGGAAUGAAAGUUUUCUUUAAAUACAACGAUUUACGUAUAAGAGUACAGUCGGAAUUUUUAUUUGAUAAUAUUAAAAACGAAAAUACUUGUACAGUAUAUGUCAUGAUAAGAGUGAAUAGUCCUCUAUAUAGUGUACUAUAAACAAAUUAUUAUAUGUAUUAUAUGUAGGACAAAAACUAAAAUGGUUCGGAUAUGUUAAACGAAGAAAAGCAACAAGCAAAGCUAGGACAAUUGCGGAUAGGUAACCAGAAGAGAACAGACAGAGGGGGAAUAUUCACUUUCAUUAUCAUAGUAUUUACUGUACAAAUAUGUUCGUUUUUAAUAUUAUCCAAUAAAAAAUUGUACUUAAAGGAAACUUUCUCUCUAAUUGAAAUAAGUAUUUUAGUAUUAAGUUCGUAGGGUUCGUAAACUAUAUAUCUCCACAAUACGCCAGGCUACUAAAAAAUAGAUUAUAAUAUGAAACGGAAAAGUAAGCAUUUUUCUUGUGAAUUCACAUAAAUUAUAGAUUAUAAUUAAUAUUAUUUAUGAAUUAUACAAAAUAAAAUAUUAUGCAUGUAAGCGAAAAAUAUUACCAAAAACUGAAAAUAGCACUAAAAAUCGAAUAUACUUCAAAUAUACAAAAUUGUAUGUUUGGAAUCUGGCCCAUAAAACAAAUAUAAAGUUCACUCUACUAUUGUUAUCUUUAUCCUAUAAUAAUUUACAAAUGCUAUAAAAUCUAAGUCCUGGUGGUAUGUAUAGAAAUUAUUUAUCUGGAAAUGAAAAAAGAGCAAAAAAAACUAUAGUAGAACAACAAAAAAAUAUAUUGGGGACUUUAUAAAUAAUUCAAGUUCUAGCAAUGUUACACUCACAUCUACCUAAAUUAAGAGCCAUCUAACUGUGAGAUAACAAAUUAGAGUAUAUUUUACUAUUAAUUGCGACUCAAAUAAUCUAGGUACUUAAUAACCAUUAAAAACUGCGUAUUAAAAUUCAAAUAACAAAAUAAUAAAUUAUAACAUUAAAUAAUUUUAUUAAUUGAAUUGUUGAAUGUAAAAUAGUAGACGAAAUGGACUUUGAUGAUUAUAUUAUUGACAUAUUUGCUGAUCUCAAAUCAAAAGAAUUUAAUUUUUAAUUAUCAUUGUUAUAUGUGUAGUUAACUACAAUAAUGAUACAUGAUAUAAAUAUAUUGUAAAAAUUGAAUUAUAAUAUAAAUAUAUAUUUAAAUGUUUGAUGUAAAAUACGUUUUAAGGUGCUCAUCAAUUCAAAUUGGCAUAGUAAAAACAUAUUUAAGCAUAAAAUAAAGAUAACAGGUUAGGUACUGGUAAAUGUAAUAGGUAAAAAUAUUUUGCAUUUUUAAAUGGGAGAAGUUGCGGACUACGGGAGUGCAAUUUUUUUUGUGUGGAAAACAUCAUAUUUUUUUUGUGGGCCCUGCUAAAGGAGUUAUGCCCCGAGCCCCGCAAAAUUAUAAGGUGAGUAGUAAAAACGAAUGGCCUUUAACGAUAAAUACCGAUACACGAAGUUACAGAAAAAUGCUUUCCUAUGUUAUUUAUGUUAUUUAAAUGGAAAAACUAGAUAAGCGAUGAGCCAGUUCUACACAUUUUUUUGUGGGUAAGUUUGAGACCACAAGGAAGCAAUUUCCAGUAUUUCUUAACUGGAAAAAAAAAAGUUAAAAAUCAAAACAGUCUAUUAAACAUGCUCGUUCCAAUAAUAUUUAUAUAUCUGUCGCAUUGCAAAUAAGUAAUACAAAAUAUCUAUAAUUAUUAUAAAGGAGAAUAAAAUUAACGAUUGGCACGACAGUUUUGUAUUGAAUAUUGUUAAUGAAAAUGAAGAAAGGAAAUAAUGAUUAAUUUAAUUAAUUUAUGUAUAUAAAAAAAAGGUCACUGGAGAGGCGAAUACGACCCUCCACUUUCCCCGGGGUGAGCACGCCUCUGAAGUAUCUAUAAACUAUCUAUUCCUACGCGCCUUGUAAUACUUUUAAAUUGAUAAUGUUAUAAUAUUAUGCUGUAUUAACUUUUUAAUUAAUCACUUUGAUGAUAUUUUUAAAAUACGCUAUAAUGUUGUAAUAAUUAUAGUUAUUAAGAUUACGAAACGCUUUUUACGCGUGGGUUCGAUGCAUAUAUUGAUAAAUAAUAAAUAGAAAUAUUUAAGGUCGUCGGACUUGCGUAGUUAGUCUCUGUCCGUCCUAUAACCGGGCGCAAUAUAGUAAAAACGAGUUUUCGUACACCCAACAGUACUUAUACUAUAAGACCUCGUUGCAAGUAUAAAUUCGAUUUUAGUGUCAAAAUAAAAACGAGACAUCGUGUUAUAUAUUGUAUAUUGUGUCUAUAAUAGAACGGAUUUUUUUUUUCGAAAACUGAAAUUGCCCAUUUUGUAUGAUUUGUUGAAAAUAUGUUUAAAAAUAAAAGCUGAUAUUGCUGACGGGCGUAACACUGAUGUAAAUGGGAGUCGGGAAGGUAGAAUACAUACAUUUAUUUAAUUUACACCGGUAAUCAACGAUAAAAUAAUGCUAAUAAGAAACGAUUCGGGGCCAAGUUCAGUUAUACAUGUUUUGAAAGGUUUUAAUGUUUACGAUUUUCGUAAAAAUUUGAUAUCAAAACUCUUAAACAUAAAAAAAAAAAAAAAAAAAAAAAAAAAAAAAUACUACCUUACACUCAACUUAGAAUGAACCUCCUGUUAAAUUUUCAAGCAUUUCUGUUUCUCCAAACAAUUUUAUCCACAUAGUGUCUAUUAAAUAAAACUCGCAAACAUAAAGUGCAUAUUAAUAGCUAAAAAAUGUGUUUAAAAUUGCACUACGUCUAGAAAAGGCAAAUAUAAGUUGUUUAUCAAAAUUCUAAGUUUCUACAAAUAUGUUAAAAUUAAAUUAAAAUAAUGAACCCAUUAUUUUAGGAAACUUUCCCGUUUUUUCUACGUCUUUACCCAGUUUUGCUCAAUUAUAAAAAAAAUUCAAUGUAAAAUCAAUAAACGACUUUCUUACUCACCACUGGUAUUUAAUAAAAGAGGUCUCUUGUCAUUUUUCGAUUGAAACAAUAUUUCUGGUAGAAAAUAUCGUGCAAAAAAAUUAAAAAUAAUUACAUUGUACGCCAUAAAUUUUUCAUAAAUUUAUUUUUUGUCUUUUUUCGGUUUUCCUAAUUAUUAUGAAAAAAACUUGGAAAAUUAAAAAUGACCUCAAUGCACCAACUAGAUAAAAUUUCCUUUCAGAAAACGUACUACAUUUGAUACAUCGUAACAAGAUUUCUAGUAGUAGAAUAGCUCAUGUGCACAAAAUAAAAAACCACAGAUCACAGUAAAACCAAUAGAUUUUUUACUCCAUUCCAAAUCUAAAAAGGAAUAUCUAUUAUAUUAUUAGUAAAAUGUGAACAAAAUCUUUUUAAAAAACGAAUUUAAAAAAAAAUACUUUUAUGUAUUUUACAUUUAGUACGGCGUUGUUAUUAAUUUUUUAACAUCAAAAUCAAUAUUUUAUUACCCCUGUAUGUAUAUAACUAUCGGCCAUAAUACUGACGAAAGUACAAAAAAGUACGAAAUUUUGAAUUUUCAUGAUUUACGGUUCAUCGGUCGUGGAAUUCAUGAGUCGUGUGUAAGGUUUGUUCGUCGUCCCUAGCCCAAAAACUGGCCACAGCUAUUCUCAAAUGAUUUGCCAUGUACAAUCCUUUAGAGGGGGGGGGAGUUGAGGAGGAGGCGUGGUAAAACUGAAAGAUCAAAAAACACGAAUUUCCGCAAAUGAGUAGAUGCAUGUAAGUACAUGCGAGUUCGUAUUGGUCAGGUUCAUUCGUUAUGUAUAUUUUAAUUUUUCCUAUCAUUUUUACAUGGUAUUGUAGUUUAUUUUCUAUAAUUUUUUUUUUAGGCUCUGUAAAAAUAGGACCAGUUACCGCGACUUGUUCUUCAUCGGCUAAAUACGUCAUAAUCAAACACAAGCCGCAAGACAUAUUAAAAAACGGCCUAACAGCUCUUGAGUAAGGGGUUGACGAGAGAAUUAAUAGUUUUGAAGUACCUACAGGUUAUUGAUUUUGGGCGGGGACUUGGUCGAGUUUAGGGGGAGACAUGACUUCCUAACUGAUAAUAACGAAUUUCAACGAAUUUUUAAUGGUUUUUUUUUUCUUUUACGGGCUUUUAUGUUACGUAUACAGAAAUAUUAAAGUAUAUAAUAUAUCGUGAUAAAAAAAAAAAAUAAUAAUAAUAACAAAUGGAAAAUAAAACAACCGUAAUAUUAUAUUGACGUGGGUUGGGCUAUUGUAAAUAUCGUUUCAAAGCCUUGAUGAGCUCUAAUGAUGAGCAAUAAUAUUAUUUCAUCGUGUUUUAUUAUUAUUAUUAUUUUUUUUAUCGGAUGGGUACGGUUUUUUCUUAUUUCAAGUGGACGCGGCCGUGAUGGGAAUUCGGUUUUUUUAUCUGUAUAAUAUUAUUAUAAUCUACCUAAAUUACAUUAUAUCAUUUACUUUUCACGAAUAGAAUGUUGAAAUUAUACGGAUAAACCACGCGCGAUAAGGAUUGAUUUGUUGUCCUUGCAGGUUAAUUAUAUUGCUAAGAAAAAAAAAAACCAAUAGAACAGAAGAUCAAAAGUAUAAUAUUAUAAUACUCUAUAAUCGAAAUCGCGUUCACGAGGUCACUAUAUGCGGUUAAUUUACAUUUUUCCAAGUUUUUACUUUUCAUUAUCAGCUAUAGGUACGAAUAAACUUUCAACAGAAUUGUUCUUCUUCUUCUUUAAGUUCUUCAGUCUACCAAUAGUCUUUUUAAAUAAUAGGCUUAGUGGCGUAAUCUGCAGGAUUUAUUUUCAAGAGUGGGAGGAGUGGUUAUACUUUUCAAAUCAAUUUCUAAACAAAAUGUUUUUAAAAUAAUAAAUUACUAAAUAGGCAAAAUGUUCGAUGCGCACAUAUGCAUUCAAAAUUGAUAGAAAUUGUCUAAAAUUUUAAUAUAAAUUAUGCAACUAUGCGUAUUACGUAGAAUUCGUAAAAAUCUCGAAUUUCAAGAAGAGGGAUGUUAUAAUGAUUUAAAUAUGCGCAAUACUUUUGAAUUUUGAGGCAAAAAAGUUUGAAGAAACAUAUCUUUUGUAUAGAUUUAAAGUGACAGUAUGAUAAUGAUAGUAAAAAUGACGUUUGAUGAUUGUCAGUGGUUUAAGAUAUAGGCUAUAAAGACGUAAAAUGAUUUUGGUAGAUUUUUAUCAAUACAAUUUAACAGAACAUUAAUGGUAAGUAAUCAAAAAGGCUUCAAGAAUUUAUCAGGGUGUCUCAACGGCUUGUGUUACAUACUUUACUAUGUAUAAAUCCAUAGAACACUGGCGCCCUGAGGCACUUUGUAUAUUGGAACAAAUUUGUUUGUAACACGAAUUUCGAGCUACACACUUUACAUAUGAAGGGUAGGUAUUUGGGAAAAACUAUAGUAAUCUAUUCGUGUACAUUUUUCAGGGGAGUAAAAAUAAAGUUUGUAAACUUUGUUUAAUCAAAACAAUUAUAAAUGCACGAUAAACAAUAAUACGUCAUGAUACCACAAUGUUCUGUAAUAUUAUUGUAAUAGAUAGCGAGUUGAAAUAGAGUAUUUCGUAGUUAGAUUUCAACCUAAUUUUUCCGCAACCGCAUAUUGACUACAAUAUUUCUUCGCCGAUAUACUUAAACUUUUCCUUUCAAUAUUAGUGAAAUAUUAUUAUUAUUUUUUUAUUUCAACACACAAUAUUGCUACUAACGUGCUACCGAAUCAAACCAUAAAAUCAAAAACGACAAUAAAAUGGAUUACUACUGAUUUCCCACUGGUAUCCAACGUGCAUUUCCCCAGCCCCACCCUUUUAACUUUUUCGAAUUUUUUUUUAUGCUAUCAUUUAGCAAUCAAUUUGUAGCUGUUUGUAAGCAUUUUGUUCAAGAAGAAAGUUGAAUUUAUUAGGGGUGGAGCCACGGGACAGGGACAUGUUUCUUCAACCCCAUCCAUGUCACCUGCUCAGUUAAGUAAAAUAAUAAUUAUGCCACUAUUUAGCAGCCAAUUCGCAAGCAUUCGUAAGCCCAUCUCCAACAUUUUCGAAUCGUUAUUUCCCCCUUAAAUUUGCAAUUUUUCGAAUUUGGCCAUGUCACGCGCACACGUGUGGUCCUCCACACCUUUCAUACGUUUCGUCGCGAUACAAUGUUAUUAAUACGUGUAACAUAAAAUUGCUAUUUUACGACGUCUUGAAACGAUUAUUAAGACGUCCCCCUGCCCGGAAUCGGAAAUAUUUGUGUGUACGAUAUUAUCAUGUAAUUUCUCUGUGCCGCGCAGAGUGUGCGCAGUAAGAUAUCAUAGAUAAUAAUGUAUACGAUUUCAUGACUGCAGUCCUCCGUUAAUUCGUAUUUAAUGGCGGGUACAGGUAAAUACCCUGACCAUUCCGCGAAACGGAAUUGGAGGUUUGCGAACGUAAUUCGGUUCCCACACGCACUGGUGCUGUGCGAUAUGAAAACUAUCGUUCCGUAAUGGGUUUCAUAAAAAAUAUCUUCAUCGUACGGACGUGUAUAAAACCAUCGGAAAAAUAAAAUAUUUUAUCGUGCGGAAAGCCCGUGUCACAUUGUGUUUAAUCGUUACCAGGACUAUUAUUGUACAUUGUCGUGUACACUUCUCAUACCUGGUAUACUAAUAUUGUUUUAAUAUUUCCAACAUUACCGAUACAAUAUAAUAGUAAUAUAAUACCUAACACGUUAAUGCACGAAACGAAUAUAAGUACUAUACAAUACAUUUUAUGACGGAUCCCACGGUCAAAAAAAUUGUUUUCGCAUUGAAACCGAAUAAAAUCUAAAAAAAAAAAAAAACUGCGUUUUUAAAUUUCAGAUUCUAACCGAUUUACAACAGUGGACAGAAAAAACCGAAAACAACAGAAUCCGCGUCCGUGUAUGUUUUACAGUUUUUACUUACUUUUAAAAAAAACCGUUGUAUAGGGAAAUUCGAAAAAUAACUUCAUCAAUCAUAUUUAUAUAUACCAGGUGAUCCAUUUAACCAUUUGAGUGGGUACGCUCAUUAUUACGAAAACUUUUUUUUGGAAUUUGUAAUGAUUGUAAGAAACAAUAGCUGCUCUACAAUUUUAUGUUAAUGUUAUUUUUGUCAUUCGCCAUUAAUUUUGGGGGUAAAACCACGCUACGUACUUUUGAUUAUCAAAUGGCAACCUAUAUUAAAAUUAAUUUAAAUAAAUAUUAACUAAUAUUCAAUCUAUUUAUGGAAUUUUAUGGAACAUUAACAUAAAAUUGUUGAGCAGCUUGUAUACUUUCCGAGACGAUGAGCGUAUCCACUUAAACGGAUCACUCGGUAGUGUGCCGCAAAUCGGCGCAAUUUCCCACGAGAAAAAAACGCUACGGUCCACGUCAAGAUUACCGAUAGAAGUGUUGUUUGUAGAACAAAAACAAAAACGCAACUAUAAAACCGCUAAAUUUCUCGCUGCUCGUUCGGAAUCUAAAAAGAAAAAAAAAAAAAAAAAACUCAAGGCCGUUUAAAUAACGUUAUAUUAUUAUUGAAUAUCGCCAAUAUCCGUCGACUAUAUUGUAGUCGGGAAUUGCGCGCGCCCAUAGACAAACGAUUAAAAACGUCGAUCGACACGGCCGCAAUAAUAAUUUUUAAUUAAUAAUAAUUAUUGCUGUUGUUAUUAUUGUGCCAGUCCGUGACGCCGGGUGAUGUUCAUGAAUCGUUUUGCGGAGUGGACGCCGGCCAAGUCCCCGAGUGUGUCGGUUUCGCAAUUAUCGAAUACUAUACGGAAACACGCGACGGGUCGUUACUGUAAAUUAUCUGCUUUGCGUACGCCUAUAUGCAUACCUAAAUAUAUUGCAUACGGCGUGUAAAACGAAAAUCUGACAACUGAUAAUAACUUUUGUUCUGUUCGACAAAACUAAUAAUAAUUCGUUUGGAUUCCGAGCGUAGCGACGGAGCUAUUGGUUUUACUAAGACGUUUGUUUUUAUUUAUUUUUUCUUCUUCUAGCCUGUGGACACGUUUUUUUCCCGGUAAACUUGUUCCGGUUUUUACGCGUAGUGACUUUUCCGAAAGCUCGAGUUGUCUAGAUUGCCAUUUUUUUUUUUUUUAAAUAAAAGCACUAAAGCGGGAUUAAAACGUACAAUUUCACGAGUUUAUUAUUUUAUAAAAAACACGGACGACGUUUUCUACCAGAAAAAAAAAAAAAAAUCACAAGACACCUUUUUUGUUGCUUUUUUGAUUUACUUUGAUUUACGGUAUCAUCGUCAACAAUUUUGAGCUGUUAAGGAAUUUUACUUGUAGAAUAGGUAAUUUUGAGCGCUGUGAAUUCCUUCAUUUUAUGUGAAAUAAUUUUUUUUUUUUUUCACUUAGUAUACAAUUUACAUAAAAUCAUUUUACAAUAUCAAAAAUAGCCGUUUUGUAAAUUGUAUAGUCUGAAACAAAUUAUCAAUACGUGUUAUCGAAUAUUUACAAAUUAAUGAACGUCGUUAAGUUUAUACGGUUUAUUGAAGUUUACGAUAAUUUCAAUGUUUUCAUUACUACCACUAAAUAAUAUCAAUCGAUUCGCCAAUUUUUUCGUGAAAAAUAAUUUUGAUAGUCAAUAGCUUUUUGUAAACUAAAAAAACCGUUAGAAAAUUAAAGAUUCAUAAUUAGUAAUUAUUUAUAGCACCGAAAUGUUGUUUCGAAGUAUAUUUAUGAAACGGUUAUUUUUUAUUUUGUGAUAAAUGUUUUUUUUAAAUUGUUUAUAUUUAGUUUAAAAUAUAUAUAUAUAUAUAUAUAUAUUAACACACUAGAGGGAUAAUAACACCAGACUCUAGUAGCUAAAAAAAAAAAAAGAAUUGAAUAUUGUUUUAACAAAACAAAAGUUAUUUCAGGUUACAGACUGUGUACAAUAUUCUCGGUUAUAAUACUCAAAAACUGUUAUUGAGAUUUCGGAAAACUACAAGUGAAAUCGAAAAAUGACCUCCCAAUGACCGGAUCGAAAAUUCCACAGGUACGUUCCUGUGACGUUUUUGAUCGGCGUCCGAUUUCUAGUAGAAAAGUUAUUGUUUACAAACAAAAUAAUAACAAUAACAAACACAUAUCGUCGCGGUGUUCGCGCGCAGACGGACCCGAGGUGUGUUUUCUAAAAGGUUUUCGACCGAGUAGAGAAGUAUUACGAAACGUUACACGCAAACUGCUCGUAAUAUUAUUACCGUGGACCCGAUCGGUUCGCAAUAAUAUUUAUAGAUGACGCCGUACGCCGACGUAUUUCACUACAGUCUCGUAAAGUGAUCGAUACAAUAGCAAACAAACGGAACAACAACGGUAUAAUACUCGGACCAGCGGCGGUCCUUGACGAACCUCGAGGGAGGAGGGGUGAAAAUAUUUUCCAUAGUUUACAAAACACACACACGCGCGCACGCACACACACACACACACACACACACGCGCGCGCGCAUUCCAUUUUAGAUUCGGAGCAUGGCGAGGAAUCUAUUUGUUUUACUAUGACGUGUGUGUGUUUUUUUCUUCUGUCAGUAAACAACUGUUCGGAAAGAAAUCUCGCUCCGACGUAAAUAGAGUGUAACACGUUUUCUGAUAGACAAUAUUAGCUAGUUGAUGCAUUGAUGAUGUCAUUUUUUGAUUUUCAAAGGGAUUUUUUUUUUUUUUAACAAUUGAACAAAACCAAAAAACACGCAGAAAGAACUAGGACAUUUACGAAACACGAAAUAGUUAUUUUAUUAUUUUAAAUUUGGAUUUUUUAUUGUCGUUUAAUUAAAAAUGUUUGUGAAGACUUGAAUUUUUUACACAAAAUGUAUAUUUGUUUUUUCUAGGAGUGGUGAAAUAUUCAAAAAAUUUAAGCAAUUUUCGAGCAUUGUAUAGACAUUUUAAUUUUGCGAGUUUUCUACGUAAUUUUUAUUCGGUAGGCACUACGUGGAUAAAACUAUAUUAGACUAAACAGAAACGCUUGCAAAUUUUAAGCUUCAUCGUAAGUCGUACUUAAUGGUCGAAAAGAAAAAAUGUGUAGUGUAAUGUAGUAUUUUUAUUUUUUUUAUAGCGUUUUUAAAAUCAAAUUUUGACGAAAAUCGUAAAUAUUACGUAUUUCCAAAACAUAUUACUGUGCAACUGAACUUCGCUCCGAGUCGUUUGUCGUUGGUUACAGACAUAAAUUAAAUAACUUUAUGUAUCCCUACCUUCUCGAAUUUUCGUUUUUUCAUUUUAUUAGAAUUUCGGUAAGUACGCGAGAAACAAUUCGAUGUGGUUCGAGUAUACCGCAGCGUAUUAUAAAAUAACAAAAAUCGAUGUAGCGCGUACGUUCGAAUAAUAGUAUUCGAUACUGCAAUGUCAGUAGUAUUGGUGCAAAUAAUAUUAGUUGCCAUUGUUGAAUAUUUGGAAAACUAUCUUGAAACUCGUAAUGUUAUCGUAAUUGACCGCGACGUCGUUCACUGUUUAAUUGCGUGCGUAUUAUUCGUAUACGAAUACUAUAACAAUAUUGUUUGGGUACCGUGCUGAAACCCGUAUCAAAACGAUAGCGGCCAGACUAUCGGAGUUCGAAUAUCUGAAUGAUAUUCGAUUAGUUCCUAUCACCGCGCUGCGCGCUUUUGCACAAACGGGAAAUUAUUAAACGGAGAAUUUGGCGAUAUCGCUACAUUAUUAUUUAACGUAUAAGGUUGUAAUGAUAUUCGGCGGUGUAUUGUUCGAACAGUAAUGAUAUUAUGGGUAUGCGAGUGAAUAUAAUUAUUUUCAUACAGUUUUCGAGGCCCGUUCACAAUAUUGUUUCUUAUCGUGGUGAUAGUGUUGUGCGUGCUGUACGGAAUACACACGAGUAAUAUUCGAUGGUUUUGUUUUGGACAAUUCGUAUUUUGUCCGGUUUAAAUUUUUAACUCGAACGACAAAUACGUAUGUUUCGUGUGCCCGUAACUAUUUGCGAUUUUAAACUCUAUCGGGUACCCAAUCUCAAUCGACCGUACCGAAAUGUAGGUGGACGAUUAAGUUUCGAACGUUUACUUUUGCGAAGGAUUUCGUUUUCGUUUCCGCCGUACGUUUUUCCGGCAUAUUCAUCUACGCGAACGUGUAACACAGACGAAUACUCUACUGUUAUUUGUACUGAUCCGUGUGGGCACUCGGGUUCGUUAAAAGCGAACCCGAUAGCGAUGGCAUUACAAGUUACCAACGGGGGAAAUUGAACGGCAAUAAUCAAUCCUCGCCGGCGGACCACCCGGUACCCGACCGACGACGGUAAACGCGAUUUUUGAAACGUUUCCCGGCAACCUUAUCGAUGGCGGAAAAGCGCGUUCGGUUUUUAAACAGCGACGCACGUUAUUAUUGCGGCGGACAAUGCGGCCGAAACGCUAUUGCCAAACUGCACCGAGUAUCGCUCUCCGGGUCCGCGGCGGUUAAACGGUUUCGGUGCCGCCCCCUGCGCCGAGAAAAAUAAAUAGAUUCGCGCGUCCGACGCGUUUAAUAAAUAAUAACGCAAUAAUAGUUCGCCGAAAUGCGGAGACCGCGCGUUCGCCACGACGGUCGCCAAAUAAUACCGAAUAAUAAUAUAACGUACACGGGUGGACCGGGGACCUUCCUUCAGGCGCAGGGGCGGGCCCGGAAUGCCCUUCGGCUAGGUCCCACCCUCGUUACGCCUUAUUACAUUAUUAUCGCGCAUAAUGGCACGAGCUGCACGGCGUGCAACGCGAACGGAGCGAUACUGCGACGCCGGGUUUACGGUACAGCGGAUAUACGCGCGGGACGGGCGCCCGGUCGAGCGGUACGAGCGGGCGAGUAGUGAUUAUUGAAACCGCGUUUCCGUCCGCCGGGCCAAGCGGUCGCCCCCGUCGUCUACGCGUGCCGCACGCUAGACAUCCGACAGUUUCUCUGCAGGGCGUUCGGUCGCCGGAGAAACUAUUCGAUAGUCCGCCCGAACCGUCGACGGUGUAGACUAUCCGAAAGUGUCCGGACACUGUAGUGCGUCUCGGCGGCGGCGGCGGCGACGGCCGUUCGACCCGGCCAAUAAAACACCGACUCGGUCGCCAUUGACGUUCGGCCGUGUAGCGAGACGAGUCCCGCGGCCGAGCGCUGGUUCCGCGCGAACCGAAUGUCACUAAAGCGAGUAGCUAAGCACCCGACGAUACACGUCGGUGACAAUCCCGUGUACCGGUUCUGGUAAAGGAUUUCCGGCAGGGCGACCGUUUUCGCCCGGCCCGGUCAAUCGUUUGCUGCGUGCACUCAGCAAACUGUCAGCUACCGAACCGAUGCGGAUUCGUCGGUAAAACACGUUAUCGACGAAUUAUCGCUGUUAUCUAAUACAUUGCGUCCGUUUGACAAGUAAGAUACUUCGAUAAACCCGGUCGCGGGCGACCCGGUGUAGUACGAUAACAAAACUAUACUAUACCCCGGACGGUACCGUUCUCGUGCGAUUUGUGAACUCGGUUACGCAUGCUUGGCGAGUGCACUCAUGAGCGAAUCGUUAUAUCGAUCCGAUUCCUUGUCCGAAUUAUUUGGUUUUCUUUCCAUUUCCAAUUUGCCGUUAUCAAAACGCGGUUUUUUGAUACCGUCUUGUUUUUUUUUUUUUAAACAUUUUUUCAUUCGUUUUUCGAUAGAAUUUACUCCGCUACAACGAACUGUCGAUUUUACUGUGUAGCGGUCACUAUAAAUGCGAUCCAAUACUCGAUUUGACCACUAGGCUCAGUAUUGUCCCAGUGUAAACCCGGCUUUGCGUUCGGCGCGAUAAGAAUCGGCAUUCGCGUGUACACAACAUACUCGUAAUAUCAUGCGCAGUAUGCGACGAUAGGAUUUCGGGAACGCCGCCGUGCGCAAAUAGGGGUGGGUGGGCAGUAAGGAAAACCGGAGCGAGCCAGAGAGAGGGAGAGAGAGAGAGAAAGAGAGAAAGAGAGAGAGAGAGAUACAAUAUUGUAUACAUUGCAAUCUUUGCCGCGACGUCCUCUCCGCGGUCUCCAGCUCUCGCGCGAUUUCGACGCGGUAUACACGGGGGGCAGGACUCGAGAACCCGAGCGGACAGAAAGGGUGGAGCGAACCGACGGCGGAGGAAGGGAUACCUCGGGGUCCUCGGGGGUUAAGGCUCAAUUACGCGUGUCCGCCGCCGCCACUGCCGUCGCUCGCAUAUAAACCGGUAGUAUCUCCGGGUUGACGGCUUAUUGUCACGACCGCUACGCUCCGCGGAGGACCCUGCCAGAAACUCGUUCGCUCGUCACUCGUUCGCUUGUUCACUCGUUCGCCCGUACCGCCACAUCGCACGUUCGUCUACUAGAAAUCCAUAACAUUACUUGACAGAUUUAGCACUCUGAUCUUCUCAGUGGAUUUUUUUCUGUCCGUGUCCGUCCACUACACACCAGGUAAAAUGUCAUUAUUGUUAUUAUUAUUAUUUUUUUUUUUCAAAUCCACGGUUUUUAAACGCGACUUUCGCAAUAUAUUUUCGCCGCGCGAAUAGCGAUCGACGACGGUGACCCCGUACAUACAAACGUCAGUACAUACGUUCAGACGUCUCGUUUCAACAACCCCGUUUUGUCGUGUAAUGAAAAAAAAAAUAAUAAUAAAAUAAUAAAAAAAAGCGCGUCCAAAUAUCAGUUUAUCGAAAAUCGAAUAAAUUUAAAUAUUCAAACAAAUUUGUUAAAUCGCUCGGAUGCUUUUUUUUUUUUUUUUUUUUUUUUUGUAUUGCGAAGACGCUACGAGUUGUUCGAUUUGAUCUCUGUAGACUCAGUCGUUAUAUAAUAUGCACGCGCACAUUUUCAUAAUAACACUGAUUUUUUUUUUUUUUUUUUCCCCCGUUCAAUUUCGCCUCUUUGUUAUUUUCAGCGCAAUUUUCGGCGUUCAAUUAUUAUUUGGCGCAACUUUCUGUACAAAUCGGUUUUACUAUGUACAGUUUAUUUUAAUUAUUUUUCUUUGUUUUAUUUUAUACUGCGCAACAACAUCCAAACCCUGUACCUCGGCGGUAACAACCGUUAAUCUCGAUUUAUGUACAUCACUGCGCAUUAUCAAAACGUAUUAUUUACUAUGUUAUUAUUGUUUUCGGUCCCUCGUAGAGAUUCGCACUAAUCGGACGGCUUUUGUAGAAGAAAAAAGCAAUUAAAAGCGUUCCUAUACACCUACGAGUACAGAUGCGAGUAUUUAGUUAUUUUUUUUUAUUAUUUCGACGUAUUUGUCCUUUAACGUGUAAAAGGUUUAACUUUAGUUUCUCUCUCGAAAAAUUACACAUUUUAACGAAGACGCCGAUCGACGAGAAAAAAAAAAACGAUUUUACACUCCACUAAAACUCUUGGGUGCCAAAACCAUUUCCUUCCGUCGCUCUCUGUCAUACGGCGCCUGUUUCCAGUCCGCUCCAUUUUCUCCUAUUAAUUAUUUCCCUCCCCUAGGUUUCUUUGCUCUCAUCACAUCUGUCGAUACACUUUUCAGCUCUUUACAGGCCAUAGAUGGCCUGCCCAUUCUAUCAUUGUCCCUCUAAUCGACUUUGACUACGUCUCAUCUUGUGCGUAUUAUAUAUAGUUGGUAUAAUUGAGCGUUAGUUUAUAUUUUAUAUUUCUAUUCCACGUCGUUGUUUACGAGUCCGUAGGUUUUCCUAAAGAUUUUACUCUCAAAUACACGUAGUUUUUCCUCAUUUUUUAUCGCCAUUACUUACGCGUACGUCACUGCAGGUCGGAUGUAGAGCUUGUAUGUAAUUUUUUUUUCGUUUCCCUUAACCACAGCUCAAAUCUAAAGAAGUUUUUUUACACAUUGGUUCGUAAAGAACCUAAUUAGAUAUUAAAAACAACUAACAAAAAAACACCGUCUAUCAUGAAAAUAACAUUUAUUAUUUUGUACGAUUAUACGGCUGUGGACAAUAAAACGUAUAAAUUAUCGGUAAAACGAUCGUUUAUAUAAAGUAGUAAUAAUUUGUAAUAAAACAGCAUUACUUUAUUAUGUUUUUUUUUGGUCGAUAAUUUAUAUAAUUUAAUAGUUUAACGAUUAUUUACAAAGGCGUUUAAACAUUUUUAAAAAUACUCGUCUAAUUAUUUUUGGGAAGGAAGUAGGGGGAUCGGUGAACGUUUCCCGAAUUUUCUCCAAUUAUGUAAACAUUCAAACAAAUUGUUCAUCGCCAGACGAACACGACUUCUAUAAUAUCAGUGGGCUCGAUACGAUUUAGGUGGACUUGGCCGCCUAAAAUACUUUAUGAGUGCAUUUUCGACAUUUUUUUAAAAAUACGAUCAGUUUUCAUUUUGUAUGAUAUCCGAGGAAAUAAUUACAUUUCUAUUUCCGACAUAUUAUCCUUGUAAAGAACCUAAAGGGUCAUCAAAAAAUCGAAAUCCGUCAAACUAAAUUCCUACAGUUUUGUCUCGUUUUUAGGUCUAAACCGACGAACAUAAUACACGGUCUCCAAUCUCCGUAAAACCGAUUUUGUGUUGCUAGUUUAUAAAGACUUCUAAAUAGAGAUCGGACGUGUGUUCACUUAAAAUCCUUAAAAAAAAUAUAUAUAUAUAUAUAUAUAUAUAUAUAUAUAUUUUAAAAACACUAAACAAAACCCUGCAGAGUGGCUUACAAAUUAUUGAAAAAAAGCAAAAAAAAAAAAAAAAAAAAAAAAAAAAAAUGGUAGACGAAUUUAAAUAAUCGUUCUUCUAACGAUUUUAACUUAUUGAAAUACAAUUUUCAAACGCUACAAAAAUAAUUAACGCAAAGUACUUUUUUUUAUAAUUUAAAUAGUUCAAAUAUUUCAAGAACAUAUUCACAAAGUUAACGUUAGAGUAUUUUGUUAUUAAAUCAGCUACUUCAAACAUUCUGAGAAUGUCAUGAAUAUUCUAAUUUCAACUUAUGAAUAAUAUUUCUAAAAAAUGAACGUUACGUUUAUGUUAUCUGGAAAAUGUAUGUAUAUAAUAUUAUACUAACACAGACUAGUAUACUGAAAAUCAAAAGAUUUUAAAUCGCCGUAUGUAAUAUGAUGACGUGUGUUUUUUGUUCGGAAAAAAAGGCACACGUUUUGUACAAUACUAUACGGCUUGGGCCGUUAAAAACUGUUAUUUCGGCUAUUUGGCGACUUUACUAAUUGACAGGAGUUACGCCAUUGGGCCAUUUUCGAAAUUUAAUUAGCUCGGAGUGUUGAAAACUGUACAUAAUCGAUCAGAUAAGCCCUUCUGUCCUUUCUGUCCAACGAUACAGGUGGGUAUUUAUAUUAAAACGAUUACGAAAAAAAAAAAAAAAAAAAAAAAACAACAUAUAAUAAUAAUAUUGUGCAUCAGCAUACAAUACUACACUGAUAUACGGUAUUAUAUGAUGGGAAUAAUCGUGUUAUUAUAACUGCGGCAGGCCGCGGUCGAUGUGAAAGAAAAAUACGGUUUUGAACCGUUCGCCGUGAGUUAGGCCGUACAAUAAUAAUAAUAAUAUUAUCGUUUGAUCAAACAUAAAUGACGAAAUAAAAUGCCAAAAUACGCGCGUAUUAUGACGGACGGUUUAUGAAAGCACAGCGAAAACACCAAUUUAACAUCGUUCGUCAUACGGACGAUGGGAAUAAAAUACACCGACGAAAUAUAAUUUAUUUUAGAACGCGUAUAAAACAAUCGACUCACUCGCGUUCAUAAUGAUACAACGGAAUAUAGUAAACGGAUUUAUAUGCACUUAAAUGUCCACGCGAAAAAACUGAAAAAAAAAAAAAACAAAAACAAAUCAAAAUACAAAAACGUUAAAAGUGUUUUAAAAGUCUUCGACCAACGGCUAUAAGUAAUGAGAUGCGAUUUCCCAACGCUACAAAAAUCAUCAUGAACACAAAGUAAUUUUUUCUUCUAUAACAUACGCGUAAUGCGUUUUUAAAAGAAAUCGCUUUGUGUUUAAUAAUUUUUGCAGCGUUAGACAAUUGUUUUUGAUCCGUUAGAGGAGGGGGUCUUUUAAAUCCAUCCAUACCGUUUUUAAUAUUUUCCAUAUUUUUAAGUGCUUUAAACUUUUUUUUUAUAUAGAUUUAAAGUACGUAUAAAUCAAACAUUUAAUCCAAUUUUAAUAAGAUGGCGCUAUAACUGCAUAUUAUGUUGUCUCAAUCUUACAAACGUGCGUCCAGAAGCAUAAUUUUUUUUUGGUGGGGAGGGGAAAAACGGCGGUGUUGCACGGGUUGCCCUUCACGUACCAUGCAAUUUAGAUCAAAUAAUAAAGGUAAAUAAAUUAAGUGAGAAAUAAAAUAGCUUCGAAUAAUUAUUGAAUGUCCAAUGCUAAUUUAAGGCGAAGGGGCUUGGCCGAGAAUGGUGAGAUUUUUUUACAUAAAUGUUUUUUUUUGUCCAUUAUACCGACUCUCCUAAUUAUCGGAAAAAAAAUCUCUGAAAACAUAUUUCAAUUCGUUAUGAAGUAUAUAUAUAUUUGACUAUUUUACGUUUUUUAAUUCAUUUUGUUUUUCAAUUUUAUUAACGUUUUUACAAUUCCAAAAAGAAAAUUACGUUUUGAAGGGUUUAAGAGUUACAUUUCAAACUAAACUUCGUAAAAAAUGCAGACAUGUCUCCAGGCGUUUUAUCCGAUUACUAUAGGACAACUGGCGUACGAUUGGCCUAAUAUUUGGGUCUAUUUCGACAGUGCAUACGUACAGUCGAGAAUCGAAAGUCCGUUAUAAGUCACGUCUCGAUUUUUGUUUAAUAUUCCGUCAAAUACUCCGACAUAAUAAACGUUAAAGUGUAUUCGAUUCGAUUCGAACAGUAUAACAACAUUAGGUAUUUAAAUCGGUUUACAAAAUGUUCACCAAACUGUAUUGAUAAACUUCAAAACGGUUAAAUUUCAAACCGUUCGAACGUUAUCAUCGUUUAGACGUACCAUUAUUGUAACCGUAAAAUUAUAAUUUUGUUAUUACAGACGUUUGACGGCGAACAACGGUAUUCGAUUAUUUUAGAUUUUGAGUGAAUCAAAGAAGCUUAUUGUUUUACGAAAAACGUUUAUUACUUUUUUUUUUUCAUCUGCGGACAACUUUUCUAUCAAAAAUGUUGCUCCGAUUUUAGAGUGUAGCACCUUUUUUGAAAGGAAAUCGGGCGGGCGAGAUAUUUUAAAAAGGUAAUUUUUUGAUUUUCUCAGGAGCUUAUCAAUAAAUGUGAAAAACCGAAAAAAAAAAACUGAGGGAAAACGGGAACAAUGUACGAAAUGAAGUAUGGAUGAAAAAUAUGUUGGCCACUUUUUUUUUCCUGUGAACAUGAUUUCUACCAGCAAUUUCGCUCUUAUUCACAAUCAUAGAACUUUUUCUGAAUGGAAAUUUGACUCAGAAGGUACUUUAGGGAUUUUACAUUUAUUUAAUUUUCUCAACAAAUGGGAAAGACCGGGACAAAACAUGAAAAAACCGGGAAAACCGUAGGAAAAACGGAAAAAUCGGAUUAAUAUUGAGCGAGUAUUAUUAAAGAAAAUACAUAAUACCUAUUUAAUUAUUUUAUCUUAGUAUGACACAUAUAUAUUGUUGACAUAUAUAUCACUAUAAACUGAACUCCAAUAAAAUCUCCGGCCACGAUUGAUCGAUUAUUUUACUAACUCUGUUUAAUAAUCAACGUUUACGUUGGUGAGAACGGGCCUAAGAAUCGUUUUUUCGUCAGCAAUGGUUUAUUGUUGCUUACAGAUAUACAUUAAAUUCCCUUCUGUAUCGUACUUCCCCGACUUCCAUUUAUAACAGUGGCUGCACCCCCACACGCGAAGUUUGUCCGUCUUUUUUUUUUUGUAUACCAUUUUCCAUAAAAAAACAAAAUAAAUAAACGUAAAAAAAUUUUUCUGUUGCGGUGUAAGUAAAAAGGUAUAAUAUUAUAAUAAUUGCAUCCCGGAUAUUUCUUGAGCACGUCCGAUACUGCGUUUUACCUGCGAUAAAUUAAAUGUCUAAACGACAUUUUAAUGGCUUAUCGAGUAUUGUAUCGAUUGCACAAACGAUUACGAUUUAACUUUGAUGGUUUCCUAGUAUGUUUCGCGUUGCAUACAAACCCAAUAAUCGCAUUAUGCUGUGGACGAUUAUUUAGUCGGUUGACCAAUACCCGAACACGUUUACAACAACGAUAAAAUUACAAAACGCACCACGCGGAAUCGAAAUAUUAUAACGAGCGAACCGAUAUUUUUUAUCUGCCGAAGUAGGCAGGUAGUGAGUAACUAUUUAAGCGAAUAAGUGACGAUAGUAGGAAAAUAUUGUUCGGUUUUUUUUUAUAAUUUACAGGACACAGCAAUUGUAUAGUAUAUAAUAUACUAUUAUGUAGAUACACAAAUAAUCAGGACGCAAUUUCGGAAGGAAUUGUUGCUGCGCGGGACGCAUUUCGUAUGCAGCCCAAUAUUGUUCGUUCGUAAGCCUUUCACCGCUAUAAUCGCUUUGAUAACUAUUCGCGUUUUUUCAUAUACGAUUCGUGUACGUAGGUGGAUACAUGCACGUAGGUAUACGCGUAUAACCCCACUUAUAGUUGUUUUAUUCUCUUGGCCCGAAAAUGCUGCUAUAAUAAUCGCGUCGUCGUUGUAAAAAUAUUUUGAGUCAUACGCCAAAUAUACGAGCGUCGUCGCGUGUCCGUUACGAUAAUGCGAAAAACCGACACUGUAAUAAUGUUAUACUGUUAUGUAUUGAAAAACAAGAAAAUGCUAUCGUCGCGAAAUUAAAAAAAAAAAAACGUUGUCGCCAAACGCGAUAAAGAGAUUUUCCGUGUUGGCGCGCGUAAAAACUAUAGAGAACUAUUAAUCCGCGCACUACCGAUCCGGAUCGAAACAAACGUUUACAAUCCGCGUAAUCCGGAUUACGGGAUAAUACAAAUAAUAACGCAAUAUAAGUAUUUUAUAAUCAACGACGAGAAUAUUUAUUAUUAUUUCAAUAUAAAUUUUCUACCUGCAGCAAUUUCGCUCGGAUUUACAAUAACAGCACUUUUUCAGAAAGGAAAUCUGACUGGGGAGGUACACUUCAGGGAGGUGAUUUUUCGAUAUUCUAAUGAGUUUACCCGAUAAACGAGAAAACAGGGACAAUAUUAACGAAAUAUUAUUAAAGAAAAUAAUAUGUAACGCGUAUGUAAUUAUUAUUUUACCAUAUUAUGACGUGUGUAUCGCAGUGUAACACUAUCGACCGAACUCCGCGUACAGAUGUAUACAUUCAAUUUCUAUUAUAUCCACUACGCAUACCCGCGCCCAACUUAUCAACUACAACAACGGCCCACCCAUGUGCGAAGUAUAUUGUCCGUUUUUUUUUGUUCACCUACUAUAUAGUCCAUUAUAGUGAAACGAACGGGUCGGAUCCGAGAAUCCGGAUAAAACGGAUCGAUCUCCGGAAUUCGGAUCGCGAAUACAACCGUAAUCCGGAUUCCGGAUCCGGUCAAAUUAUCGCUCGGCACCAGCGAAAGCGUAUACUUUUAGACGGAGCAAGGUACCGAAUGGGCGGCGAAUAAAAAACCGCGAGCGCUCGAAUUAUUGUCGGCGAAAAGAAAACGCACGCACAAAUACACACACACACACACACUCAGUGGUCGGGCGAUAUAACCGCCACGCGAUUCGCAGAACGUCCACAACAAUAUGCGAAAAUCGAACGGGGAGGGAAAGGGGAAAAUGAACCCGAAAUGGAACGUAACGAUGAUACUUAUAUCCAUAAUAUAUCGCUGUUGUGUUCACGCAGUACCCAAGUAUAUAUUUUUAUGCGGCGCGUUUACCUAUUAUAAUGAAAACUGUAUGGACGUGUUUCGUGUAUACCUGUACCUAUAAUAGUAUACGAGUAGUCCGUGCCAAAAUACGAUAUUAUUUCAAUGGGCUUUUUGACCUGUGUCAAACGUUUAAAUCGCGACGCACACUCGUGUAUGAUAUGGCUUCCCCUCCCCCUUAUUUUUAUAUCGUGAAAAUAUUCUGACACGUUGACAGGUCGCCCAUCGAACAUUCCCGACAGCUGGUGGUGAUUAAUUCUCAACAAGACGCUCGUUAUAAAAUGUGUACCUCGGAAAAUGUUAACUUUUUUCGCGGGAUUAUUUACUUUGGAAAAUUUGAAAAGAAUAUAAAAAAAAAAAAAAAACCCGAGCAGCUUUAAAUAGGGUUACGUUGCCGUUAAUUUUUGUUAUCGCUAUUUUUAAGGGGCGAAACCAUUAUUCGUUUUCUAUUCCCAAACAUACCGACCGUACAUUUCGCGGUGUUGACGUUUCGAAUUUCCGUCGACGAGAUAUUCCGCUCUUAGGUUGCGGGUCUCUGAAGAGUUAUAACGGAGCACCGUCCAAACGUUAUUACUCUCAUAUAUACUACACUUGCAAAACAAUAAAUUGAAAAUCGGAACGUCUCGUCAACGGGCCGACGGACCCGUUUAAAAUGUCGACACCGAAAUCCAUUUAAAUUAAAACUGUUCGUGGAAUUUGCAGUGUAUAUGUAGCUGUUUGAAAACCAUAAGUGAAUAUCCCCUUCCUCCUCUUCCACUAACAACAAGGAGGGGGGGGGGGGAUAUAACGAUAACGUAUAAGAGCAGCUGUUCGUUUCGUUAAUUGUCCGAAAUGAAAAAAGUUAACACUUUCUGGAAUAGCGAUAGUCACUUCUAAUCGAGAAUUGAUCACCUGUAAAACACAAUUAUAUACUGUUAUAAUAACAUAGUAAACCGACAAAAUCACCACAAUUUCGGAGUUCAACUGCCGCGCACGUGUGCAUUCAUAGUUUCGUAUGGUCGGGAUAAUCGCGCGCCCUGUAUACAAAAUAACCCGCGGGACAUUUUUCUGAGAAUUAUUUAUUUUUUUUCUCGUUGUUAUUAUGCGGUUCCUGUCUGUUCAGCGAGGACGUCAACACCCGUCUGCGUCGUCUCCGGUACCGUACUCACGGGUAAUGCGACCGGUAAAUCAUCCCCCGAAGAGGUCAAGACCUUUGUGUUCUCUUUUGCGAUAGUAACUUGCAAAAUAUCAAGCGUGCAAUUAUUAAUAUUUGUACGUUAAUUUGUCGAACGUCGAUACAAUCGUGCGAUAUUUAAUACCUUUAAAUUAGUUAUAAGAUUCAUAGCACCCCUCCCCAUCCCCCCAAAAAAGGUCCUAUAUAGUUACUGGCCGUCUCCGUCUUACAAAAACGUACGGUGUGUAUAGCGAAUUCGCGUUUCGGCUGCAGGGCCAACUUUGCGCUAUUAAUUUUCGUUGUUAGAUGGAAUAAAAUUCACCUAUUUAUUAUUUAACGAUGUUAAACGUAAAACCGCUAUAUCUGAGCGACCGCGCGGGCAUUUUUCGAUGUUUUAAUUUUAUGGGCGUUUUUUUUUUUUUAAUUGUGAUAAUUCGCAUGAUCAUAAUCUCUCGCCAAAACGUUGAAAUAUCGCAAAAUACCAACGUAGUUGCACAGGCCAAUAUUCUUGGUUUUUAAGUUUUGAUAAUCGGUAAAUUACGACUAUGACAGCACAAAAUUAUGGUUGUAGUCUGUAGAACGAAAAUUUGUCAAGACAGCGCACGCGGGUGUCGCGUCAUCUGAAGCCUGUCUAUGGUCCACAUCAUACGCGAUAAUAUAUUUGCGACAUGCGAUACUGUGAUAUUACUAAAUAUUACCGUUUAUUUCAUAUUUGACGAAGUUUUAACAACAGAAUGGCUUAUCGGUGUAUUAUAAAAUAAAUGGUUAUAGGCACUAUCACAGUUGCGAAUAUCGCAACUCUUACGUGUGAUGUAGACAGGCUUAUAAGUCAAUGAUAGUAAUACUUGUAUCAUCAUUAACUAUCGUCGCGUGGACAUCGAUGCGUGAAUGUUUCUAUCACCAAACUGCGAGAGCGUUGGCAACUAACGCCGAUACUUACACAUAUAUCACUAUAGUUCGAUUUUACUGUCACGCCAUAAGUGUAUACAGACUUUUCUAUUGAAAUUAAAUUUAACUAUAUUAUGUCGUUUUUUAUUGCGAUAGUCGCAACACCAACAUUAAUUACGAUAGUAAUCAUCGUGUGUGUGUGCACUGCAGUAUAACAGUACGAUUUCGAUCAGAAGACUUCUAUAUUGCGAACCGAUCAAAACCUCCAUAAUAAUAUAAUAGAAGCUUAACGUGUAGCGGCGUAUAUCCGUGUAAUCGGUAUUUCUUGUUCUUUUCGAAAAGGGGGUAUACGUAUUUGUGAUAUUAUCGGUUUUCUAUUCGGUAAGCAAUUCGAUUUAUGUGCUAAUACAUUUUCUAUACCCGGGCAUACAAUUUCCAACAUGGGCGUGCUCGUUCUUCUGCAAAUAUUAUUUGUAACUAUUAAAAAUCGUCAAGUAAUAUUUUUUUCAAUUAUGUGAAUAUAAAUGUAUGCAUUCGAAUAUUUGAUAUUAAAUUAUUCCUGUAAAUCGUGAUGAUUAUUACUCGUAAAAAAAAAAGUUGAGCGUAAACGUGUCACGUAUUUUAUUUAUCUCAUUACCGAGUUACAAAAAAAAAAAAAAAACAACAUUUUCUAUGGGUUUAUUAAUUAUUUUGUAUUUUACAAUUUAGAUAAAAAGAUGAAUUCGUCGAGUUGCGCGUCGAAAAACACCGAUUACUAUCAUCAGAUGAGGCAGAAAAACAACGAGGCGGCCAGGAACAGCCGUUUCAAGAAGAAGGUGGCCGAAAUCGAAAUAUCCGCUCAAAAGCGCAAGCUGGAAGUGUCGUACGUGCAGCUGAAGAAGGAGAUCAAACGCAUACAGGUCGUGAAGGCGUCAUAAACUCCCGUCAUUACGAUUAAAAGGUUAGUUUGAUCGAUGUAUAUUAUAUUAUAAUAAUAAUCAGAACCGGAUUGACUAGAUCACAAGUCAGUCCGCAGUUAAACACUUUAGGCCGAGAGUCAACUUUUAUCAACAAUAACUAAUGGAAAUGGAAAAAUUAAUUUUUCAUAAAAAAAAAAAAUACUAGUAAUUAUAUCCAACUAUAUGAUAAAUAAAUAACUACAACAAGUCAUAGUCUCUUAAUCCCCACUAUAUAAUAUUGAAUAAAUGUGAUUGAAGAGGUUUCGGACGAUCCAGGAGACCCAGGCUUUCCUUAUUAAGCCACUGGGACUAAGCGACUUUAUCGUAUAAACGUCAAAUAUUAAAAAAAAAAAAAAAAAAAUUGAAAAAAAAGCGCCAACAAUUUUAAUUUUUCGAAAAACAUUUUUUUUUUUUUUUAAAUUUCAAUUAUAACUAUAGCUAACUAAAAAUUGCUUGGUCGCCUAGUUCCGAAAAAUCCACUGAGACGGCGCAAGGCCUCAUAAAGGAAGGAUCUCCAGUACCCUGCACGUCACCCGGUACGCGAGUUAAAAUUAGACCACUAAAAAAAAGCUUAUUAUCUCUUCAGUCAGGUAAUAAUAAAAAUAGAACGGAAUUAUUUCUGCGUUGGCAUAUAUUUUGUUAAUAAUGUUUUCGUUGUGUAUAUUAUGCAGUUCUUAAGUGUUUACAGCGCAUCGUAUUAUAACAAUAACAUUUUUUUUUUUUUUUUUAUAAUAUUUUAAGAAUAGGUACGUUUUUGUCCGACGGGCCAAAUUAUAAUACUGCAGACGAGAUAGGUCAGUCCGCUUUUGCCGACCGGCGGACCGUCUCAGUCCGCCCCUGCGUUAAUAAUAAUAUUGUAAACAUGUGUGUCCAUGUGUAAACGCGCGAAGUUUGACGGAAUAAAACGAAAACUGGAUUAGGUGAUCCCUCUGAAGGACUUUUUUUUUAACUUGUUUUUUUGAAGACGAUCAGACUGAAAACGAUCGAAUUGUUGUUCAAUAUACGACUACACUACACUCGCAUAUUGAUAUUAUAUUAUAUUCUUUCGAGUAAGUCUAGGAUUGCGUCGCGCGGAAAUCGUCGCAAUAUCCGCCGGUCGGAUAAUACCGUGCGGUUCGCGGGAAACCGACGAAGAUAAUUUUCAAACUGCCGCGGCGCGCGACGCGGAAAACUUUUCAAUUCGAGAAUAAUAUUAUUUCCGUCGUGGCUUACAAUAUCGAUUUACAAAAAAAAAAAAAAAAAUAAAUAAAAGUAAGAUUUCUCGGCCCGCGUAUUAUUAUUUCUGGAAAUUGCCUUUACGCUCGCGUUCUCGAUUUUCGACGCGUGACGACCAUGACCGCGACUCUACAGUCCCGGGGGAUUUGUAUAUUUACACCGCACGAGCUCUUAAUAAUCGUUUUCGUUUCAGUUUUUUUUUUCCUCUUCCCAUAAACCGAUCGUUUACUCGGGAGACUUUCAGUGAAUUCGAUUUCUGUGUUUGUCAACCGUUCUGGAAUCGUAUAUGCCUCGUUUUGAAACUGUUUUUUGCAAUUCGUUACACCGUAUUCGCAUUACGCCUCAAAUGAGUAAAUAUACUUUUGUGUUUUAAACAAGAACCCCCACCCCCGUCUUUUUAACACAAUCUCGAAUAGAGAACAUUUGUCUAAACAUUUUAUUAUGUAUGUACAUAACAGUUUACAAUGACCGGACGAGUAAGGGAAGGGUAAUUUCAUAUCAAUUUUCUGAUGAAAAAUGCAUUUACCAUUCCCCAUACUCAUCCAAAAUGUAAACUGUUCUUAUUCAACAAAACGAUCAAUCAAUUGAUCAAUCGGAUAUUACGCCCUCCUUUUUUUUUUUUUUUUUUUUUGGAAAAAUAUCCUCUUUUCGAAUCUGUGUUCAAAGGAGGGCGGGUAGAAUCAAAAGUCUACACUAAUUUCAGGUACAAUUAGUAGAGGUGGAAAAUUGUAAAUAGCGUUUGAUUAGAGCUUAAACCGGGGAUGGCCAACGUAGCUUUUUCUAUACUGUGCCAAAUUUAAAAAAAAAAAAAAAUUAAAAUAAUAGAGAUGUGCCAUGAAACACUAACACUCGCGUAUCAUUUACAAUAAUAUAACAAUAUAUAUUUAAUUUUUAAUAUAAAUUUAGAUACCAGCUUAAUAAUAUGCUUUUACAUCACGUUUCAUUUAAAUUAAAACAAUAAUACAAAUAAGUAUGAAAUUUAUUCUAUUUUCAUAACAAUUGUAGCGAUUUUUUUUUUUAACGGGAAUGUUGAAUUAUUUUUUCUUUUGACUAUUAUCUAUUCAUAGUUUGAUUGAAGUUUCGUUUCAUAAAUUGUUUUAAACGUGAACUUGUUUGCGUGGUGGUUCGGUACCCACGAUAGAAUCCGUCCGACAAAAACUUAGUACACAUAAUAUGUGUAUGCCGAGUUAAUUCCGCAGACUAAUUUCAACGUCAGAAUUUUCCCGUCGUUUCCAAUUCGACAUCAGACAACUCUUUAUGUUUAAAACUGUUGUAUUUCGAAGGUCAAUAAUCGCACCCGAGGGUUGAAUUUCCGGAGAUCGCGUGUUCGGUGCGUCGGACGGAUUAAUAAAUACGUUAUUCGUGUAUAUCUUCUUAUUGGUCUUUAAAUCCGCCGAAUAUUUCUUCGGUCUCGUUGAUACGGGCGUGAGUUCAUGACGCGGUAUUUUAUCCGAAACUUUAUAGUGUGCCGUCCGACAACAUCGAAUGCGCCUUGGCCAAAGGCGCGCGUGCCGCAGGUUGGCCGACCCUGCGGCUUAAACGGUCCCACAAUGACGGGGCGGGGUGGGGGGAGGGGAAACGAAAUCGCCGGUUCGUGGCAAGCGGAUCGUCCGGUAUGUGACGUCGCAUUAUAAUAGGUGCGCCUAUACGACGAAUGUAUCGGGAAGAGUGACCGGUGGCGGACUAACAAAUUGUUGCCGGGUCUCCGCCGGCGAAUCUCGUUCAGAUCCAGUGUUUAUUGUAUGGGUAGGUGCCCGCGAUUCGUACGAAAAAAUCCUUUUCGUCGCGAAAAUAUUUCCCAAAAUGCGUACAUUAUAAUAUAAUAAUAUGGUACAAUACUGUUUGAAUUUGUAUAGGUGCGCGAUACACAACUGGCGAACCGUUUCGCGGGGGGUUAAAACGGUAUAAUAUCGUACGAUAAUAAUAAAAGUGUGGGUGUAUACACCUGUUCGCCGUUUGACUGCGACCUACUAUUCAAUAAGAAUACACGUUAUACGGGGCGAUUCCGUCCUCGCCGUCAGAACUAACCUACGCUCGUGUUAUUAUUAUACGUAUCGUCGUUAUGUGCACAGGGAAAUGUUCGGCCGUGUUUUCGGCGAUUUCUGUACAAUACCGACGUUGUGGUUACGCAAUUCUCGCUUUCUCGAAACGUUUCGUUGUUCUACACGUAUGUUUUUCGUCAUUUUAGCGGUAAAACCGCGCCACGGGAAUUUGAUUGUUUCGGUUCCGUCGAGUCGAAAUAAAUUAUUCGUCGACCGCCGCGGGAACUUAGUGCUUCCCACUGUUCGGUUCUUUUCUAGAAAAAAAAAAAAAAACAAACACACAGAAUUGUACAAUAGUAAAAACAAUGAUUUAGCCUGAUUCAAUCGUCCAUUUCUAGUACCAAUAAAACACCCGAUUUACGUAUACUCGUCGUAACAAUAGCAUCGAUUAUAAAAUAGUAUGCACAUUAAAUCUUGGUACUAUUUUAAAAUCGAUUAUUUAAAAUUAAAAAAAAAAUACGGUUGUAGGCGAAAAUUCGGGAAGGUAUCCUGACCUUAAAUAAAGUUCAUUAAAUUCUUAUAUGUACGCAACGAUAUGAACCAUUACGAAACGAGUUUCUGAGCGAAGGUCGGUUAUGUACAUGUUUAAAAUAUCGUAAUUUUCGUAAGCAUUGGUUAACAUAAUACAUUUGAAGUAUAACCAAAAUGGUGAUAAUCAUACGAUUAGUGAUUAGUGAUAACUCCAUGUAGAUUUUCAUGAAAUAUUUAAAAUCCGCGAAAAGAUUAAUUCGAAAAUAAAUUAAUGCAUUUCAAAGACAAUGCGAUUGUAUUACGUAUAGAAGAAAAAUUAUCUUGUAACCUAUCCAAACUUAAUUUUAGCCCUUCCCCACCCUUCCGAAAAAAAUUAAAAUUUAAUAUUAAAUUUUCAAAUAGACUUUUAUUACUUUUUUUUUUUUUAUCCCGAAUUAUAAAUGUUCACAGAACGCUUUACAAUUUUGCUAAUAUUAAUUUAUAAACUACCCGUAACUAAGUAAUAGAAAUAUAAACAAUAAUAUUUAAUGAACAAAUUAUUAAAUUAACUGUGAAAAUUAACUUGUAUUCGAAACACGCGUCGAAUUAAAUAAGUGUAAUUCAAAAAUUACAAAGUUAAUCGUUUUCUUAUCAUGUAUAACUCGGUAUAACUUGUUUGUAAUUUUUUAAUUACUCCAUAAACCCAGCAGUUUUCCCGGAUGUAUUUUUUGAGAAUGAAACUCGACUUUUGCGUGCGUUAUUCUCGUCGCACGGUCCGCGAACAUUAUCUCGUGUAUCGGAUUUCCACUAGACCCCAGGGCAUAGUGAACAUCCACUGUUCGUCUCUUAAAAAAAAAACUCCACUCGCACUAAACGACACCUUUCGCUAAACUUUCGCACUUUCCGAUAUGCGCUUCCCUCCCGCCAGUGAGAGUGUUUCCUAUUGUAUUGUAACGUAUAAUAAACCGAUUAGUUUGAUCGUUUGCCGUUUAUUUUCUAGCGGACGCGCAGUAAACAAAUUUCACUCCACUGGACGUACAACGGACAUUUCGAUGUUUCCGUUUGGACCCCGAAAAGUCCUCCGUUAAAAAAAAAAAAUUUUAAAAAAACGCCCGGCUCCGUUCAUAUAGAAUUUACUCCGUGAACUGUUCACGGACACCAACGGUGUUAUUAUUAAACGAAAAUUAUUGUUUUGUUCGCGGCACGUGUAUCGAAUGUCGGUUUUGAAAAACAUUAUUUAAAUGAUAUUAUUAAAACGCAUCUCCGUAGACGUAUUGUACAUCUAUGCGCAAUAAAAUAGUGUAUUAAUGUCUGGGGACCGAUGAAUUGUUGGCAACGCGUUAGACCAGUGAGUAUUUAAUAUAUGUAUAUAUAUAUACCUACUAACUCCGGUGCGUUCCAAUUAUUACCGUGUUAUAAUUUGUACAGGGUGUUAUUUUUAUGCUAUACCGUAUAUGUGCGCAGCGCCGUUUGUUUACGAAUAGAUUUGGAGUGAAUCCGAUACCUACUCGUGGAAAUAAUUGUCGAAAAUAAAAUGAAAACGCGUCCCGUCGCAACGGAACACGUUUUCAUGUCUCUGAACAUGUCUUACUGCAAUGAACACUGUCAGUUUGGAAAUUGAAUUUAUUUUUCUCCCGGUGUUUUAAUUCUUCACGAAUUGCGUUUAAAAAUCUAUGAGUUUAAAAAUAUCCAAAACCGUCUGUUAUGGCGCGAUUCGAAAGUGUCCUACCCGGUUUCCGGUUUUGUUGGGUUGCCGACUGAAAUCGAAGCUUAUUGAGGAUCUUGGAUUGAUGACGUCGUCAAGCCACGGUGCUUCCUCUCUAUUUCGACUUUUGAGAUUUUUUUUAAAAAAAAAAGAAAAGGUAUUUUCUUACCCGGGUAAACCUAUACAAUUUGUUUGAAAAAUGUCGGCAACUCCCAUUGUAUUUAACUGCUAUGCAUUCGAUAAGAGAAUAUUUUCACAGACAAUUAGAUACCAAUAUUAUAGAUGCGAGUAAAUUUAGACCGGACGAGUAAGGAACAAGAGUUGGUGAUAAAAUUGCACGUGUCUAUCAAGUUAAUAUUAUAAACUAUUAUUCGUUUUGAAAUGUGAACAUUAUUAUGUCUGAAAUAAUACAAUUAAUAAUUUAAUCGAAUUAACGUUCAAAGGUUAUUCGUAGGCUUGUACAGAUUUGCCGGUUAGUAGUUUGUAUAUUAUGAUAAUGAUCAAACGAGCACCCUGUAUAUAGAUACGUGUAUUGUUUGCCGUAACUCGGGUCAAACGUUCGGUCACUCGACGACUAGACAAACUCCUUUGCGACAAAAAUAACCUUUUCAAAAUAUAAUAUUAUAUUAUAAACGCCGGCGUUUAAUAUACGAAUCGCUACAGUUUUACCAUUAAAUUAAUAUAUACUGUCCAGUAUUUUCUUAAAUCUUUUAUUUUUUUUUUUCAAUUCGGAAAAAACAUCAAUACGACAUCUGUUAUUAUGCAUGUACCCUGUCCUCCUUAGUGUAAAGGCACCUCCUAAGUAUUGGCGACAUAGUCAUAACUCAUAUCAUGUAGUUUUCAGAAAAAUAAUAUUUUAUGAAUCGCCUUGUUUUCCUGAUUCCUAUCGAUACAAAACAAAAAAACCGAAUGCGAACUAUAGUACUAGCAAAAUUAUUGUAUGGUGUGAUUACGUGCUCAGCGGUUACUGCCUUUUCGCUUAUGGUCAGUAUAGAAAGUCAGUAUCUAUAUUAUUUUUUUAAAAAAAAAACACGUGUAUAUAACCACGUUUAUUAUGAAAUCUAUUGCAUUUACGGUAUUUUUACUCAGGGUCAGAAAGACGCGUUUUAAAAAAACAAAAACCAAAACGAAUAUUUCGAUACAAAAAAAGCAAUUUUUCAAAUUCUGUCACUUAAUACUGCCCUUUAGGUCCAGGAUGGCGGUAUUCUAUUUAUAAUAUUCGUCAAGGAGUAUUCGAAAAUACCACGGGCCACCCCGCCCCGGUUUUGUGCUCGAACACUGCGGACACAAAGCCCACGUCCGGUCCGCGUCAUUAUUAUAACCCUUUUUUUUCUUCUUCUUCUGAUGACCGGCUGAUGAAUUGCGAAUUAUUUGCGGUCCUUUAGUUUCGCUGCACACGCACAAUACAAUACGUUUUUACACGAUAAAAAUCUGUGUGGUCUUAAAUCUGUUUCCUCGCUCGCCACCACGACGGCAAGACUUAUUUUUAUUCGUUCAAAAUCCCAUUGAUGCCGUUCGCACACCUGCGUUCGCGUAAUAAUUUGGCGUGUCGAUCAUGGUAAUAAUAAUAUCAUACACACUCGGAGCCGUGUCGGGCCAUUCGGCGCCCAGGGACAUCGAUUUUUAAACGCCCCCUUUUAAGAUACUUCACUCGAGUACGAUUUGAAGGAUGAAUCCCCCCCUCCCACCAAAAUUUGUUAUUUUUUGUGUGUUACAAUUUUUUUGUAAAUUCGUAUUAAAAUUUUAACAUUUUACAUCCACCAAAUGAGAUUCUUCGUUACGCUUGAAUUUGUUUUUCUAGAUACGCAUAUUACGUUACUCGGUUGUACCCGCGGUCUUGUAAUUACCAAACAAUAUUAAUUACUGUUUUAAGCAAAUAACGUUUGAAAACAAAACAAAUAACAAGCGACAGAACAAUAGUGAUAUUGUUAAUUUUAUUUCGAGUUUUACGUUGAGCCGGGUGCCCGAUUGUUUUAAAAAGCUCCGACGCCCCGGGGCAAAUGUCUCCACUGCCUUCUCCCCUUUAACACGACCCUGUAUAUUAUGGCGAUUGGUUUCCGCGGAACACUCGCGGAGGUUAAGUGUACGCUCUCAUUAGCUAUUAGUUUUGAAAAUGUACGAUGCACACACGCAGUUCUAAAAUUGUUAUGUUUUUUAACGUUUUGUGUUUGUUGGCAGUGCAUUUUUGAAUUUCGAAUGACGGCGUAUCUUGCAGUAAAAUAAUUCCACGAGUCACAGAUAAAGUAUGUUUUAUAUAGUUGACAUUAAUUCGAGUGUUGAAACGUUUAAUUUAUCUAAGAAGAUAUAUCACUGAUCACUGCCACUGGUCGGUGGUUUUUUUUCUUCUUUAAGAGACGCUAUAGUUUCUUCCUACUAUUUUUUUUUUUAAACUAUGCGUCAUAUUGUACAACGUUUGUCAUCAGACCUAAUACUUAACGUAAAAUUAUAAAAAUAAUAGUACGAGUACAUCGUGCGCAUACCAGUAUAUCACUUGAUGGUAGAUUAUUCCCAAACAGAAAUAAACUCUAAAGGGAUUACUUAUAUACUAGUCUUACUGACAAAAAAAAAAAAAAAACAAAAUCACUCUGUAUACUUAUAAUAUAUAAACUUACACACACACACACACACACACAUACAUACAUACAGAUAUUGUGCUUGUUAUUAUAAUAUUCGUUCAGCUGAUACGUGCGCAUAAAUAUAGCCGGAACGCAUUUUCGUCGUCGUCGUACCUAACACGUUUUUUAAUCGUUAUUGUCCUACCUAACGCACAAUGAAAUAAUUUUUUCUCACUAAUGCGCGCGUAGAUAGUAAAAUUUAAAAAGAACGAAAACUGCGUACAAUAUAUUUCGUGAUACGCCUGGAAUUUAGGAGAAAAAAAAAUCUGUAUAUACAUUCAUAAUAACAAACACGUUAAAAACGCGUAUUGGCCAAACUUGUGCAAUGUAUAAUAUUUCGACGGUGUUUUUAUUGUACAGGUACACCUACUUACCUAAUACCCGGUUAACUUGAAUAAAUUUUUCCUCUCCUCCUCGAAAUCAAACUAUCCGUAUCCGGUACUUAUAUACCGAACUGAAUAAACGCGUUUUAAGUUUAGAGUGCCUACCCGCACCUAUAGCUCACGCUCUAAACUCGCGAAACGCACAGUCUGUAAUAUUAUAGUUUACGAGUACAUGCGAAUAUUAUUAUUGUAAAAUAAAUAUUAUUAUAAUUGCGUGCCACUCGUGGCUUAAAAUAAAUAUUUUCAUUUUCAAUUAUACUUCAAUAAAUUACCGUAAUAUCGCUUAAUAUUCUACACUAUAGAAAUGUAAUCUAUACAUUUUGUGUAUUCUACGUUUUUAUCUGCAUUGAUAAAAUGUUUUAAAGUGUAUUUUCUGAUACUUAAACAGUAUAAUAGUUUAAAAAAAAAAAAAAAACAACACGAUCUUAAAAACGUAGCCUGUUAUUAAAUUGACGAAUUAUGUUCAGAUUUAUUACCGUAUCGUAAUAGAUUUUCGCCCGCUCGUACUUAAGUUGAAAAAAAAAAAUUGUCUAUUUCCCCACGGAUAUUUCUAUUAAACAACAAAAAAUCAUGGCGACAUACAUGACGGUAACACCGCCAUAAUACUAUAAAUAGGUACGUUAUGACCUUACCAGCAGUUUACCGAGCACCGAUCAGAAUCGUUUUGUGAUUGCAAUAAUUUAUCGUUCGGCAUAAAAACUAUAAAUACCGCCUACGACCCGUAUUCUAUAAUACCCACGAAAGAAAAUGUUGAUUUUUUUUUUUUGUUCGAGACGGUUAAAAAUAAUCGUGGAGAUCUGUAUUUUUCACAGAAUGCGUGUAUAUUAGCUUCUUCUAAAUGUGAUAAAAUCGUUUUAUGCAUUCUAGCGAUUUUUCAGCUAAUUAUUUGAGAGGCAUUUGACAUUUUUUAGUUUUUCUUCGGUUUAAUGUGGAUAAAAUCGUUUUGGACGAGCAGAAAGUUUUACUCAAUGAGCCAAAAGCCGAGCCGUUUUUUUUAUACGCGAGUCAAAAUUUUGAAAGGAACCGUAAAAAUCACGGCACGUCACAGUAUGAUGUUUAACUAAACUUCGCUCAGAAUCGUGUUCCGUUAGGUUAUUGUUUGGUAAUGAUUUAUCGUCGCAUAUAGCAUACUAUUUAAACAACUCUAUGUAUCGUAUAUAUUUUUUUUUGAAUAAUAAUCUCCGUACAAUCGUUUGGUUUUUUUCCCGAUUAUUAACCUGAUGAUAUUGUAUUUGUUUUCAGAUGUUUCCCGCGAUCAUCAUGGCUGCAAUAUGAACAUAUUUUUUUUUUUCAACCGGAUAAUUAAAAAAAAUAUUAAACUAUAGUAUAAUAUUAUUAUUUCGUUGAAUUUCUAGUCAAAACAUACAUUAUUGACUAUUGUACAUGAUUUAUUAACAUAUUUUGACUGUCAUUUAACCAGUAAUAAAACCUACC